CGUCGCCUCCAGGGCCUCCUCCAGUCCUCAUCUUCUCCUUGGGAGUUCGGGUGCCCUGUGACACGAGCACCUCCCAUUCUCCCGGAAAACCUUCCGCAGGAUUUGGGCCACUUCCGGAUGUUUUUGCUCCAGGAGUGCCACAGAGCGCCUCUCCCGUAGCUGGAGUUAACAGACGGGGCCAGCGCCAGGAACACAUGAAUUUGGGGUCAACCCCGGGAAGCCGGGAAGGCAAAGCCUGGGGACUCUCUCAGGAGGUCGGGACACAGAACAGGCUUAGCAGCUGCGGGACCCGCGCUUGGCCAUUUUUAUCUUGCUGAAAAUGGCUCCUCUCUGCAGCAGAAAGCUGAAGUCCCCAGUCAGCCACGUGCCACCAGGAUCCACUGCUCUCUGCGAGCACUGACCAUGCUGCCAGGUGAUUUUGCUGCCGAGUGAUUUUGCCCAGCUGUGGCCUAGGUCAGAGUUCUGAGCAAGUCGAAGAUGGGAAAGCAGAUUUUACAUGGCACAGGAGGAAUGAGAACCCUCUCCAAGUAGGGCCCUCUCCCCGGGUCCCAGCGUGGAUUGUACCAGCCAGGACGAUGCAGGGAGGACGAGGUCACGCCCCAAGCCUCGCUUGGUACAGAAAUGCUGAAAGGAGAAAGACAAAAAACAAAAAAAAGCCUCUAUUGUGAUUUCAUUUUAAAGUUUUCACUUCAUAAAGAAUACUGAGAAUUAAUGCCCAAUAUUUCCUUCUUAAAUGAAAAAGGGGAAUGUCAUUUCCUUCCUCAUGUUAUAUAGAAUAUUUUGUAGACCAAGUUUUAACACAGCUAAAAAGCAGCAAACAGGUCUGCCGGUAUAAAUGCUUCAUGCCCUCUUUUUUUCAAUGAAGCACCUGCCGGUAUAAACGCUUCAUGCCCUCUUUUUUUCAAUGAAGCACUGUGUCCUAAGAAACUUUUCAAAGGAAUAAACAAGUACUGGCUCCCUGUCUCAGUAAUUAGCAAAUGAGCACAAGGUUGUAACACAAAGGCCUGAACACGGGGCCCUCAGGUUGGCGGUGAGCUGGCGGGUGACAGGCUGGGCGAGAAUGACACAUGUGCAGCACGGUCUCCAGCUUCACGCGUGCACCAGAAAGAUGAGAGGUCUGGACGUCUGCGGCGUUAGACAAACAGCCACAGUGAAUACAGGGAUUUGAAGCUGGUUGGGCUGGAAACAUACAUGCAGCCUAGCAAUAAAGAAAUGGCCCUGAUGUUCACUGUGGCUUCGUAAAACACAAGAUGGGGACUGGGCAACGCCUGCCAAACGCAGAAAAGCAGGUAGGGGCUCCAUGCCUCCGAGCUUCCAUGGGGCCAAAAUUAAACAGCGAGAGCUGGAAGACAAUUGCUUUUUAGCCCUUUAGUAGUACUUAUUAAUUAGCUUAAAUGUUAAUGUUUCCUGUAAUGAACCUAGAAAUGUAUUUAAAUAAUUUUUAGGGAUUGUUGGCAUUUAUGAUUCUUUGAUACACAGUCUACAUCACCACAGUUGGCAUGAGAAAGCAGCAAACACCCAGGCUUGCCAAGCCAAACACCUCUGAUCUUACCUCUGGAAGUAUUUUUGAAAUACAAGUAGUAAAUCCCUUCUCUCCUGCAUGUUAGUUUAUAUUAAUUACUUUAGAUGGCUGUACAUUUUUUGCUAAUUCCUUACUUUAAAAAAAUUGAAUUUACUAGUCAGUUUACAUUUUAUAAUUUCUAUUCUAGCAUUGAAAUCUACAUGGUUUGAUUUCUAAGGCUUAUAAUAUCUGCUGGAAGGUUGGCCUGGAUUGGUUAGUUUAGUGGUUAGUACCUUUAUCAUUCCUUAAAAUCCACCUGGCACGUCCCAGGUAAAAAUUACUGUAGCUUCUAGGUUAUCAGUAGUUAUUCAUUUUAAAAAUUAAAAAAAAAAAAAAAAAGAAAAAGAAGAAAUUGAUUACAUAUCUUGAAAUCCAGGAGCUAUAAAAUCAUUCUUAUCAACCGUUAUCAGUGAAGUAAAGCUUAUUUUAAAUUAAGGACGUUCUCCAUCUGGAAUUAAGCUGUGUGGAGCUGCCACCAUGAGCUCACAAAGCUGCUGCUGCUGCCACACUGUAAGCACCGUCCCACCCACUCCUGUCCUGUCAUGUGAUUUGAUGCACAUCUAUUUGUUCAAGCGACCUGAAAAGCCGGUAUUUUCACUUCAUGCUGACAACGGGAAGGCAAUUCCGAGUGGUCACUUUUGGGCACUGCGGAGUCUCUGAUAUGUAGGAAUUUUCUACCACAUCUUCUUCCAUCACAGAUGUAAAAAGAAUCCACAACUAGGAGG